rnacentral:rRNA from 1 species
GACGAACGCUGGCGGCGUGCCUAACACAUGCAAGUCGAGCGGGGUUGAGGCGAGAGGUAACUCGAGCUUCUACCUAGCGGCGGACGGGUGAGUAACGCGUGGGCAACCUGCCUCAAGGUUUGGGAUAACAGCCCGAAAGGGCUGCUAAUACCGGAUAUGCCUAUGGCCUCGCAUGGGGCUAUGAGCAAAGGGGAAACCCGCCUUGAGAUGGGCCCGCGUCCCAUCAGCUAGUUGGUGAGGUAACAGCUCACCAAGGCGACGACGGGUAGCCGGCCUGAGAGGGUGACCGGCCACACUGGGACUGAGACACGGCCCAGACUCCUACGGGGGGCAGCAGUGGGGGAUCUUGCACAAUGGGCGAAAGCCUGAUGCAGCGACGCCGCGUGAGCGAAGAAGGCCUUCGGUUGUAAAGCUCUGUCUGGAGGGACGGAACAAAAUGACGGUACCGUCCGGAGGAAGCCACGGCUAACUACGUG